rnacentral:rRNA from 1 species
AUGAGAGACCCUCAGAUGUUUCAGUGCUUAAGAAAACUCACCAUUUCCAACUGGACAAGGUGUAAGAAUAUACCUGUAGUAUGGCUCUCAACCUCACUGGAGUACCUAUCCCUGCACAACAUGGGUAAACUGAAGACAUUGUGUGAUAACCUUUGCAUAGAAGGUGGAGGACGCAGUACCCCUCUACAGAUUUUCUCGAAGUUGAAGGAGAUGGUCUUGGAACACCUACCUAGUCUAGAGGGAUGGGCAGAAAACAGUGCGGGUGUGGCCAUUGAUAGCUCAGUAAUAUUCGCGGUGCUUGAGAAGCUAAAAAUCAGCCACUGCCCUAAGGUUGCAAGUUUUCCACCGAGCCCCGUUCUAAAAAAACUGAGUUUAGGGAGCUAUUACUUGCACGCGAAGUGUUCAUGGGAUAUUCCAAGGUUGCCUACAUCCAUUGAAAUUUUGCAGAUUCGAUACUUCGAAGGUUUGGUGGCGCUGUCGUCGAACCUUAGAGAUCUGGCAAAGCUGAGCAACCUAGUGGUGCAUAGCUGCACGAGGCUGAAAGGGUUGCCUGACGGGAUGGAUGGCCUCACUUCUCUUCGGAUAUUGCAAAUCACUUGUUGUCCAGCGAUAGAGGAAUUCCCGAAUGGUCUCCUUCAGCGUUUACCAGCCCUUGACCAGCUAACCAUAGAGAGAUGCCCCGAGUUGGAAAGACAAUGCCGAGAAGCUGGGCUGUAUUUCCAGCCCUUGGUCAGCGCAUAA